CUCCUACACACUGUUGCAGGAAAACGCUUUUUCCAGUAUGAAAAUAUCUUGUAUCCCAAAAACACGUUUUAAUUCAGCUGCUUUAAUCGUGUGUGAGCAUGACAGUCCAGCAAACUCGUCCUAAAAGGGUUAAACGAUAAAAAAAAGAAGGAAAAGAAGAGAAAACGAGAUGAUGAUGAAGACGAGAUUAAUAUCGUUGGCUAGCGCUAAAGUCAGGCUAAGGGAAGUAUUUAGGUAUAAACUCAGACGGUGUUGUGGUUAGUCGAUCAGAUGCCAUCGGCUCCAGGGAACAGUGGGAAACAGUGUUUCAGAAAGGUAAAAUGGCCUUGCUUGAUGCUGGAGACAGCUGGAGAGGAGGAGAUGAUCAAGAUCCGUUCGUGCACAGAAAGAGAGGUGAAGAGAAAAAGACAUGAGAGCCAAGAUGAAGGCUGACAGAUACUGCAAGUGAAUCCAGAAGUGUUUCAAUCGAUUAAAUUGAAUUAAACUGAGAAUGGAAUCACUCUUUUUUUUAUAGAUAAUAAACCUAGUCACUUUUUAUAAGAAAAUGUUUUGUUGUUGUUUUUAAAUGACCUUUAAGUGAUAUUGUCAUUUAACAAAUUACUUAAAAAAUAACAAGUCAUUUCUUUAAUAUUGGAAUGUUAAUUUGAUUAAUGCUCUAUAUUAAAUGGAUUGUAAAACC